UUUUGUCUUUAUAAGAGAGAAAUUAGAGCACCACUCUACUCUGGUAUUGCACUGUCAGAGAUCAAAUCUGGGACUUUACACAUGCAAGCUCUGUGGUCUCCUGAAUGCAGAUUGAGAAAAGUAUCUUACUUACUGUAAGAUACUUGAGAAAGUACCUGGUAUGGGGUAAUAGAAAGAACUGCUUACCUUGGAACCUGACACCUGGAGCAUCACUUGUCAAGAGUCCCAGGGCCUUGUAUCUUACAGUGACUGGGAAUUUGGCCAGGACCACUUCCUGUUAGAGAGCCUUGGAGUGUGGACAGCCCACCAUAGAGAAGUGGAGCAUCUUCCAGAAACCAGGGACAUGUGACUAGUUACACCAAAUCCACAGAUCUGCCUCAGCCAUUAGACUGAACUACUAGGUUUCAUUCAGGGUGCAGGGGGAAGGGUACUGCUUUCCCUAAGCUGCCCUUCAACAUUCCCUCGCUAUCUUCAGUGAAGUCAAGGUAGGUUUGUUCACUUUGCCACAGAUUGUUUUGGUGCAUUCAUUUCUUGUUCCAGCUUUUAGCAAUAACCU